rnacentral:rRNA from 1 species
UACGGAGAGUGCGAACGUUGUUCGGAUUCACUGGGCGUAAAGGGUGCGUAGGUGGUGAGAUAAGUCGGAUGUGAAAUCUCCAAGCUCAACUUGGAAACUGCAUUGGAAACUAUCUUGCUAGAGGGUUUGAGGGGGGACUGGAAUACUUGGUGUAGCAGUGAAAUGCGUAGAUAUCAAGUGGAACACCAGUGGCGAAGGCGAGUCCCUGGAAAAUACCUGACACUGAGGCACGAAAGCUAGGGGAGCAAACAGG